rnacentral:sRNA from 1 species
AAAGCACUUCACAUCGCUUUACCAGCAGACGAAAAGGGAAAAUGGACGAUACUUUUACUAUUGUCGCUGCUGAAACGAUGGAUGUUGGAAUCACAGUCAUCUCAUUACUAGGAACGUAAUGCUAGCACGGAUGCAGGUGGACUAUUUUAGCCAAUAAGCUAUACUUUGUUGUGAAGAACUUCAAUUAUAGGUAUGAUAUUGUUAUUCAUGUUCACCGUUGUUUGAUGUAUGUAAUCAAACUAGCUAUGAAUGUCUAGUUCUUAGGUCAACAUAUAAACCAUAUCAUAUAGCAGUCAUGAGUUCUUGAGAUUGCUGCUGAUUCUCUAUCCAGAAAAUCACAUAUAAUCUGUUUGAAACGUUCACCUAUCAACGAUGUGCUUCAGCAUUUUAUUUGUUUUCCAUCCAAAUGCCCAAUAGUGGCUAUCUAUCAGAGCUACUAUUUCCUUUAGGAAUCGGCAUCCCAACAAUGAGAACAGUGACAAGCUUUAUGGUGAUAUGGUGGAAAAGAGCACUGCUAUUCUCCAAGAAGCAACAUCUCAGCUUCCCCAAGAGACCUCGAUCGAGGACGUCAUUGUACCCAAGGAUGCAGAUGUUCAGAUCGUGACUGAGGUCCUGGAUCAGAAGUUCGGCCGUCGUCAUGGUAAGGCGGGGGUUCGUGAAACGAGUGCCUCUUCUUCCAGAUUGUCCACAGGAGAGGUCAAUUCCUUGAAGGAGGAAGUGACAACCCUAAGAGGUCAGCUUGUGGCCUAGGGCGACCACAUUAGGGCCCAUGACGAGAGGAUGAAUAUGAUUGUUCAGG